UUAAGGGGGGAAUCUUCGGCAAUGGACGAAAGUCUGACCGAGCAACGCCGCGUGAGUGAAGAAGGUUUUCGGAUCGUAAAACUCUGUUGGUAGAGAAGAACGUUGGUGAUAGUGGAAAGCUCAUCAAGUGACGGUAACUACCCAGAAAGGGACGGCUAACUACGUGCCAGCAUGGCCGAAAAUUAA
rnacentral:rRNA from 1 species